GGGGGAGUACCCAUGGGUGCUCACCCCCCUCCCCCCUUUAUUUCCCCCCCCCAGAGGCUGAAGAAGCGGCGCCCACCCCCCUCCCCUCCUCCUCCUCCUCCUUCUCGUCCAGGUAAGGUGCCCCCCCCCCCCCCCCCCCCCCCCAAAAAAAAAAAGCCUCCCCCCCUCCCCCUAAAUGUCCCCAAAUGUCCCCCCCGUCCCCAAAUGUCCCCCCCCCAUGCCACUUUAUCCUGCAGGUGCCCCCUCCCCGGCCUCCCUGGUGGUGCUGCGGCGGCGGCAGAAGGUGAGUCCCUUGAGGGGGGGAUGUGACAGGACCGGGGGGGGGGUCCGUUCGUGUCCCCCCCCCCCCCUUAGCGUCCCCUGCUGUCCCCAGGGCUGUCCCCAGUGGGAGGCGGUGGCUGCCCCCCAGCUGGAGGCGGGGGUCCGGGCCCACGUCCUGCAGGCGCUCAACGGGGGGGACCCGGCACAGCUGCGGGGGCUGGGGCCACGCCGGGGGGGGCGCGUCCGAGCCUGGCGCCAGGAGCAUGGCCCCUUCCGCACGGUGGAGGACCUGGCGGCGGUGCCCGGCUUCACGGUGGCGCAGGUGGCCACGCUGCUGCAGGCCAAUGUCACCGCUGCCCUGGGGACAGCCCCGUUGGGCCCCGCGCCCCAAUAAACACCCACGAGCGCCGACCCCGCCUGGCUGCGUGCGCCUGGGGGAGGUGACCCCAAGACACCAAGGUGCCACCAAGGUGACCCCAGGACAAGGAGGUGACCCCAAGCCAUUGAGGUGACCCCCAAGUCACCGAGGUGCCACCAAGAUGACCCCAGGAAAAGGAGGUGACCCCCCAAGCCACCAAGGUGUCCCCAAGCUGAGGAGGUGACCCCUGAGCCACCAAGGAGAUGUCCCCAAGCCAAGGAAGUGACUCUGAGCCACCAAGGUGUUCCUGAGCCACCAAGGUGUCCCCCAAGCACCAAGAUGACCCCAAGCCACCAAGGUGGUCACCAAGGGGACCCCCUGAGACAAGGAGGUGACCUCUAAGACACAAAGGUGUCCCCAAGCUGAGGAGGUGACGCCAAACACCAAGAUGACCCUAAGCCACCAAGGUAACCCCUGAGACAAGGUGACCCCAGGCCAUCAAGUUGGGCCCAACCACGAGAUACUGAGAUGAGCCCAGGCCCCCAAGAUGACCCCCAAACUACCAAGGUGACCACAAGAGGUCAAGCUGACCAUGAGCCACCAAAAUGGCCUCUGAGCCACCAAGGUGACCGCAAGCCACCAAGGUGACCCAAGCCAUGGGAAAAGUCCUUCCAGAAGGUUCUCCACAACCCCUACCCCAUGCUGCAGAAGACUCCCUGCACCCAGAGGACCUCCUCUCCAUCCUACGCCCACCUCGGCACCCGCGGGCUGCUUCCUCCUGCAAGAGGACCCUUGAGGGACUGAGACUUGGGCAUCGGAGCUCCUCCACCUUGUGUUCUUGGUGGGGCUCCAGCAUCUCCUGGUGCUCACCACGUGGUCCAAAAGCUUCCGUUCCUUGAGUUGCCAUUGGGACCUCGUGCAGAAGACCACUCGUUGGGACCUCACGGCCAAGACCUCGCCCGUUGGGCCAUCAUCGUGCAGAAGACCUCACCCUCCUCAGCAGGUGCCGGUGAUGGUGGGACUCAAUCUCUGGGCUUCUCCACCCAAAUGUCGGGUGCUGCAGUUCAGGAUCUUGGCACCAGAGGGCUCCCGGACCUGCAGAAAUUGCUUGUUUUGGGAGGAAAAUUCUUUCCUCUGCACUCCCACAUGGCCUUUGCUCGUUUUUUGUUUUUUUUGUUUUUUUUUUUUUUCCUUUUUCCCCUUUCCCUUUUUAAAAAAUAUAUAAUAAUAAUUUUCCCUUAAUAUUUGUAAUAUCU
rnacentral:lncRNA from 1 species